rnacentral:rRNA from 1 species
GAUGAACGCUGGCGGCGUGCUUAACACAUGCAAGUCGAACGAUGAAGCCCAGCUUGCUGGGUGGAUUAGUGGCGAACGGGUGAGUAACACGUGAGUAACCUGCCCUUGACUCUGGGAUAAGCCUUGGAAACUGGGUCUAAUACUGGAUAUGACUUCUCAUCGCAUGGUGGGGGGUGGAAAGAUUUAUUGGUCUUGGAUGGACUCGCGGCCUAUCAGCUUGUUGGUGAGGUAAUGGCUCACCAAGGCGACGACGGGUAGCCGGCCUGAGAGGGUGACCGGCCACACUGGGACUGAGACACGGCCCAGACUCCUACGGGAGGCAGCAGUGGGGAAUAUUGCACAAUGGGCGCAAGCCUGAUGCAGCGACGCCGCGUGGGGGAUGACGGCCUUCGGGUUGUAAACCUCUUUCAGUAGGGAAGAAGCGAGAGUGACGGUACCUGCAGAAGAAGCGCCGGCUAACUACGUG